rnacentral:lncRNA from 1 species
UGCAAGAAAAGCCAUCUCGAUCAAGAGUGCAUAAACUUUCCAAAAGAUUGUCAUCCACAUUUAGAUCAACAUUAUCUUUGAGUAAGGAUGCAAAUCAUCAAGUUAAUGGUAUGGAACAUAGUGAUAUUAUACACAAACCAGAGAAAACAGCAUCAUUGUUUAAAGGUUUUUCGAUGCAAAAUUUUUUUGAAAAUAAUGAACAUGUGUUAAAAGGUCGAUCCAAAUCUCUUCUACAAGAUAAAACAGAGUGUGAAGUUAAAACUUAUAGAGCUAUUACAACACCACCGUCA